CUGGGCGUGGCCCUGGCUGAACCCCAGCAGCCAUCAGGAAGACAGCUGGAAUCGGCAUUUACUCUGCGGUCCUACUGAAGGUGGGGGGAUGUUUGUGCCACGGCCCAAGCCGGGGUGCACAAUGCAGUUCACUGCUGCCAGCCUGGGGAAGUAAAGUAUUAGAACCCGCCUACGUGCCCACUGACAGGGACGGACAGAGCCGCCCGGGCAGGCCGGGCCACGAGUGCCGGGCAGCAGGUCCACAGGACAAGGAAGCAGCUUGCGCAUGGCUGUGCAGAAGUGUGGUCUCCGGAGCACAAGGAGUGAUGCAGCUGCUGCCCUCUGGCAUGAGGCAGAUGUCGGACCCCAGCAGGCACCCCAACUCCUUGGUCUCAAAAAGGCAUCGAUAGCAGCG